GACGUUGGCGCCGUACUUGUCAACGAACUGGUACACGCCCUUGCCCUGCAUCCACCCGAAAAAAAAAAUUGAAAAUUUUCAGUUUAUGCGCCAUGAAGAAUCACCAAAUUUCCACUGAAAUCUUCCGGUGAAUUCAGUGACUAGAUUCUUGUGCUCCAAACGGUUUCGAGUCAGAAAGAAAUUAAGCGGAAGAGGCCCUCCUCACCUUGACCUUCCUCCCGGAGGCAUCGACGUCGACGGUCAGGCCACCCCCAAUCCCGAAGGGCUUGUCGGUCUUGAUCUUCUUGCCGGUGCCGCAGACGACGGCGAAGGAGGAGGCGCGGCGGCCGAGGGACGGCAGGCCCUGGGCCCUGGCCGGCGCCGCCAGAGUCGACGAGGAGAUCAUGGAGGCUGCCAUUGCUGCUGUAGCUGUAGCUGUAGCUGCUUCGGUUCACUCGCUCUUGCUGCUAUGCCUGCCGGAUGCAGAGCCUCCAGGAAGCUACACGGAGCCAAUAUACUUGUGGCGCCAAAACCUGUGGAUAAUGCCAGGAGGACAGGUGCGACCGCCGUGGCGCCACGUGGCGGGGCGCGGUUGGCCGGGCACGAUAUGGCUGGGCCAGAACGUUAUCUUCUUGGGGAUUUUUUGUGGACGGGUGAAAUUGUCUCCUUGGAAUGGGAGAGGGGAAAUUUUGUGAUGGAUACAUGAGCUUUGCCAUGAAAAGAAUCAAGAACCUGUGGUGCCCAUGGUGUCAAGCAGAGUUUGGUACUAGAUGCCAACAGUUGCAAUGCAAUCUAGAAUGUACUGAUAAUCUGAUAUAUAUGAGGGAUGCAGCGACUCAAAUUUGUUGGGAUUCGAAUUUUCAGAGGUGAAUAAGGAGCUAGUAUUUGGAAAGCACCAUAUGCCAACCUUGUCAAAGUUGGACAUCAAUUAUGUGAUGUAGAAAGGUGGAAAAUUAAAGUUUGAC
rnacentral:lncRNA from 1 species